rnacentral:rRNA from 1 species
CGGAUUUACUGGGCGUAAAGCGUGUUCAGGCGGCCUGGCAAGUCGGGCAUGAAAUCUCUCGGCUCAACCGAGAGAGGCUGUCCGAUACUGCUGGGCUUGAGGACGGUAGAGGGUGGUGGAAUUCCGCGUGUAGUGGUGAAAUGCGUAGAUAUGCGGAGGAACACCAGUGGCGAAGGCGGCCACCUGGACCGUCCCUGACGCUCAAACACGAAAGCUAGGGUAGCGAACGGG